GGGAUACCACUUGGAAACAGGUGCUAAUACCGGAUAACAACAAUAGCUGCAUGGCUAUUGCUUAAAAGGCGGCGAAAGCUGUCGCUAAAGGAUGGACCCGCGGUGCAUUAGCUAGUUGGUAAGGUAAUGGCUUACCAAGGCGACGAUGCAUAGCCGAGUUGAGAGACUGAUCGGCCACAUUGGGACUGAGACACGGCCCAAACUCCUACGGGAGGCAGCAGUAGGGAAUCUUCCACAAUGGGCGAAAGCCUGAUGGAGCAACGCCGCGUGAGUGAAGAAGGUUUUCGGAUCGUAAAGCUCUGUUGUUGGUGAAGAAGGAUAGAGGUAGUAACUGGCCCCUAUUUGACGGUAAUCAACCAGAAAGUCACGGCUAACUACGUGCCAGCAGCCGCGGUAAUACGUAGGUGGCAAGCGUUGUCCGGAUUUAUUGGGCGUAAAGCGAGCGCAGGCGGAAAGAUAAGUCUGAUGUGAAAGCCCCCGGCUUAACCGAGGAAUUGCAUCGGAAACUGUGUUUCUUGAGUGCAGAAGAGGGGAGUGGAACUCCAUGUGUAGCGGUGGAAUGCGUAGAUAUAUGGAAGAACACCAGUGGCGAAGGCGGCUCUUUGGUCUGUAACUGACGCUGAGGCUCGAAAGCAUGGGUAGCGAACAGGAUUAGAUACCCUGGUAGUCCAUGCCGUAAACGAUGAGUGAUAAGUGUUGG
rnacentral:rRNA from 1 species